AAAAAUCUUGGAGGGAACAUCAAUACUAUUCUAAUGACAUUCCAUAGGAAUAAAAAUCCAAUGGGACCAAGUUCUUAGCAGCUCACACCUAGUCAGAAGUACAAAAUUGAGAACCAUGCCGAUCAGCAAGUGUUAGUUACAAUCUAAUGAGGAACAGGAUAUCUGAAUGGAAAAAUUGCAAGGUUUCCCACUUCCUAAGCUGUUUAAGUACUGGUAUCACAACAUAAGUGCCAAGAAGAGAUAUGAAACGGUCUCAAAAUUUUUGCUGGUGCCCCCCUCGAUGCCGUGACCCACGGUACGCCACUGCAAGUCUUCAUAAAUUAUGUAGGGUUAUUAAGUUGCAUUUAUUGUUAUCUUCAUUUUAAAAAAAAUGUGAAAUGGGUUACCACUGCAAUAAUAUAUAAAUAGAAUAUAUUUCAAAAAUAGAUUGAAUUCUAACCACAGUGACAGUAGACAAAUCAAAUUUUGUUAAUGAUUCGCUAAUGUAUUGAUUGGGGAAGGUACUCUUUAGGAUUCUGGCAUUGUGUCCCACCCCCCCCCCCCCCCCCCUUAUGAGGAGUGCUCUCACAUCAGUAGACUAUUUCUUGUCAGCAAAUUUGAAAGGAAUUUACCAAUUUUUUUGAGUGGCAAACUUUUGUGGAAGA